rnacentral:misc_RNA from 1 species
AACGCACAUUGCGCCCAUUAGUAUUCUAGUGGGCAUGCCUGUUCGAGCGUCAUUUCAACCCUUAAGCCUAGCUUAGUAUUGGAAACUGGCUUUACUGCCAUUCCUCAAAUUCAACGGCGGAUUUAUAGCAAUCUCUGAACGUAGUAAUUUUUUUCUCGUUUUUGAAAUACUGUAAACCUCAGCCGCUAAACCCCCCAAUUUUUAAUGGUUGACCUCGGAUCAGGUAGGAAUACCCGCUGAACUUAA